rnacentral:lncRNA from 1 species
GUCUCCCAGAAGCUGGAAGGAUUUCUACACCCACACAGGCACAACCAGACUGACCACAAGUCAACUAAAUGGGUACGGCGUCUACCAAGGAAAUGACCACAGAGGAGCUGUGUUGAUGGAAGGGAUUGCCGAGCUGGGGAAAAUCAACACAGCUUGAACAGCCAAUCAGUUCUCUCGUGACGGGGGGUUUACUGUGGUGGAAAGGACACCUGACACGGAGCCGACACUGCUGGCUUUCCACUAUGGGGAACGAGUGGUCAUGCCACUCUUUCAACUCUGAGACUAUUCUGAAACUCUUCUUCCUCACCUGCAAAAUGGCCAUCAGCCCACCCAUGCGGAGGUGGGGAGGCCUCCGUGAGGACAAGGAUGGGAAAGUACCGAGCGCACCAUCUGCUCAGAGUAGGUGCUCAAGAAACACUGGUUAUAUAUACUGGCUGAAUCCAAAUGUGACCCCUGAGGCUUGUUAGCUAACGAGGGAGCAUGUGUUGAAGUGGCUGUUAAUGUGUAGAGACAACAAGCAGUCAAAACUAUUUUUCAAUUUUGUUGACCGGCCACAUUUGCAGCAGGGCCUCCGAAAACCAAACUUUGCACUCGUCUUAUCAGCCCGUUGGUCGGGCCACUUGCGUAUGUUGUUGGCUUGCAUCCACUUUCUCUGAAAUGCCACAAAGGAACCAGAUUGCGGAAGCCACUUGGGGAUUUUCCACUUCUCAAUGGGCUGCUCUGGAGCCCUUCAGACCCUUGAGAUCCGGAAGAAGGAAACUGCCACUGAGAAGGGGACUCAAGGGGCCACAAGUUGAGUGGGGGGCCCUCAGGACCCGGAGCAGGACGACCUGAGACAGCAGCCUCUCUCUUCUGCCAAGUGGCUGUUUGGCCUUGAAAAGUCACUCUCUUCUCUCUCUGGGUUCCCCGAAAGGGGAGAGGGGAUGGGCUAGAAAUCGAAUACCCUCCUCGAUGACUAAUCAGAAGAAGAAAUAUCUCUGAGCUCAGAGGAGCCUACUAUGGUCUUCAACCUGUUGCGUUUACCAUCCUAUCUAAUCUUUGUGACCAUCCUGCAGAUUUCGGGGAGCCUCUCCAUCUUACAGAUGAAGAAACAGGAGGGGAGAUUAAGUAGCGAGCCCACGUCACAGCAAAUGAAAUGGCAGAGACGACUUGGGUGCUAGUCAGACAGGAUUCAACAUCCCAACAGAUGAACACCCACUCCUCGGUUCUUCCACUAGGAUGGUCUCUGAGGGUCAACUCUGAUGUUUCUCCACAAAGCUUGAAUCACGGACCCUGCAACACGGAAUGCAAUUUAUUCCGCCUUCCAGAGACGAAAAGCAUCAAAGCAAGCUUCCGGGAAUUUAAUUUCAGCGUUUGCAUCCAAGUCACCAGGGGCUCAGGAGGCCAGGCGGGACACACUGCCCCGCGCUCGCUCUCGCCUUCUCUCUCUGUCAGAGGCACCCACAGCAUCACAGCAAUAGAGGGACCAAUCCAGCCUCCCACUGAGCGGAGAGGGAAAUUGAGGCCCAGGGAGAAAGAUGGCGAAGCUUGGACAAGGACGCAGGUCUUUCGACCGUCAGAUGCGUGCCUUCUCACGUCAGCCCACAGGUUCCUCUUGCCGAGAUCCUCUCCAAGCUAACACCCGAUCGUGGAAACAGACCAUACUCAACCCAGCAAGUCUUCUAAAAGUCCUUGUGCUGUGGUCUGGGGACUGAGCUCUCUGGCUCUGGAUUGGACCAGAUCUUUGCACAGAUUCCAGCUCUAUCACUGCCCAGCUGGGUGACCUUAGAGAAGCCACUCACCUUCUGCACCUGCCUUCUCAUCUGUAAACUCGGCAUGGUAAGGAAACGAAGACUCCAGGAGCCUAUUUUCCAAAGGCCGCAUUACCAACAAAGGACAGACCGAGAUUUGGACUCUCAUGUCCUGAUCCCCGCCUCAGGCUCUUUCUGCCAGAACCACAGACAAAUCCACAAAGUGACCCUCCGUGAAUCUUAGAGGUCAUUUAAAGGUAGCGGUGUCUGCCUCGCUACUCAAAGUGUGGUCCGUGGACCAGCAGCAUCUGUACUCCCUCAGGGCCUGGUAGCUGUGCAGAAUCUCAGGCCCCAGGCUGGACCCGAGGAAUCAGAAUCUGCAUUUUAAUGAGGCCCCUGGGUGAUCUGUAUGCACACAACAGUUUGGGAAACAUUUGCCUAUGGGGUAUCAUUUCAGACUUUCAAGAAUUUUUACCAUUAGAAAUGAAGAUAACAACAACAGUCAGCAUCGUUAAACUCAGCAUCCUGAUCCAACCACAGACCGGUCCAAACUUUUCAAAAUAUCAUCUGAGCAGAAAAGCUUAUAAACUGCUUUGCUUAUCAGCCAACAGCUGACCUCAGAACCUUUGGCAAGACAAAAUGUUCUGCCCUCCCAAUGAGAUCAGUAUCGCAUUUCUGGUGGUGUAUUUAUCUAGUUUUCAUUGCUGACAUGUAUUACGUAACACCACCCCUCUUUCUUCUGCCAUCACUGGCUUAUUUGAACAUCUGACUUACCUUGACCCUAGAGCACAGUGCAGCUUAUGCAACAAUCUGAACGUUUCUCCUCAGAAGUCCCCUGUGUCCCCAUGGUGGCCUCGGCUCCUGUCCUCAUGCCGCAGACAAGAUAGCUGUGUCCCACCUCUGAUUCUCUAGGCGACUUUAGGAUCCAGCCCUGGCUGCGUGCUUACUGCCUCCCAUUCUUCGAGGAUUUUCUGGGCUUGACUAAGAGUCUUUCAGAUCUUCUUUCCCAACUGUGCUGGGCUUCGAGACUGCUCAGAGAACAGAGGCACCUGGCUCAGAACGUGUGUAGAUAAUACCAAGCAGAAUCUUCCUCCUCUCUCCGUGAUGGGGAAUGAGGGGGCCAGCAGGCAGAUCAGGACCAAGGAUGGGACCCGAGGGGUCGGCUGGGGAAGGAAGAGGUCCAGAGAGAACAGUGCUGAAAACCCAGGGUUCUAGGGUCCAACAGAACUGAGACUUGAUCCAGCUCGGCUUCUUAUUUGCUGGGUGACAUUGGGUAGAUUACUCACCUACUUUGAGCCUCUUGGUCUCAUCUAUAACAGGGAGAGGAUGAUGCCGACCUCUGGGACUAAGUUGGCUAACAUUAGUAAAAUUCUGGAUGCUAGGCUUGUCAUAUACAGACAUUCAAUAAGAGGGAGCUUGUUUUUUGAUUGUAGAGUAAGUCAUUGAGGGAGACAGCCCACAAAUGUCAUGAAACUUCCAAUUCUUAAAACACACACACAUGCUAACAUGUUUUCCUGCAUAAAAUUCAAUAAAGAAUAACUG